AGGCCCGCCCCGUCUGAAGGGCCUUUCGGGACAGCUGGGGUUACCUGCGGGGCAGGGGCGGGAUUGGGGUGCGCGGCGGGGCCGGGUGGCCGGAGCGCGCCCUUGGGUUGAGGCCGAUUCGAGCGGCAGAGCGGCGGGGAGAGCCGAAGAGCCGGUGCGGAGAGGGCUUUCGCUGGGGACCCGCUAGGCCUUGUGACCCACUUUAUUCCUGUCACAACUCGGGCACGUUUGGAGCGGCGCCCAAUGGGGCGCCGGGACGGCCAGCUCCUCCGGGGAACCCCCGCCCUCCCGGCACCCGGCCCGCGCGCCGCAGCCCGCAGUCCGAGCGGCGGCCGCCGCCGCCCGUGGGCUGGUUCCGUUAGUGGUCGCGGUUCCGGGGCUGGGUCCCCGGGGAACGCGCUACUCCUCGCGUCCGACUGGAGCCGCUGCGCGGGUUCGAACGCUCCCGGGGCGGCGCCUGUCUUCCUUCCUUGAGUCCACUCGCGCCCGGCCGCUCCGGGUCACCACGGCGGCUGAUUCUUAUGGAAACCUUUCGCCUGCGAAGCUGGACUCUAGCUAGUCCUGGUGUGCUGGCCCCGGGAGUGUAAUUUCCGACGCCUAGCGCCGCAGAGCUUACAUUCUUGAGUGCGUUUUCGCUGGUGUACAAGUCGUCCUGUUGCUAAUAGCAGAAUCCUGACAGUGAAAGAAAAGCACUAGAAGGAACUUUUAGUCAUUGUUGAUUUGGCCGUUACGCUGAUGCCCCAAUCAAAAAAAGGUGAUAGAGUUGGCUAUUAGUCAAGACUCUCUACUAACCUGUGAGAUACAUAGAGGAUGCAGUACAGUUGAC
ensembl:lncRNA